UAGAGAAUAAUUUUUAGGGUGAAGUAGGUGAAACUCCUACGCUGUGCCGCAACUGUUAAAGUCAGAGCCCCGUUCCCUAAGUUAAGGGAUAAAUAAAUCUUCCGAGCUAGAAGUGUAUUUUUUAUAUACAACU
rnacentral:ncRNA from 26 species